GUGCACCAGUCGAGAAUACUUUACAAUGUGCGAAAGCACGAUAAGGGAACUCUGAGUGCCUCCUAAGGAGGCUGUUCAGGUGUCUAAAAAGCACCUGAAGGAAGGGCUGGGUAAGACCGGUGCCAGCCGCCGCGGUAACACCGGCAGCCCAAGUGGUAGCCACGUUUAUUGGGUCUAAAGCGUCCGUAGCCGGCUGGGUAAGUUCCUUGGGAAAUUUGGCUGCUUAACAGUCAAGCUUUCAGGGAAUACUGCUCGGCUUGGGACCGGGAGAGGUCAGAGGUACUCCAGGGGUAGGGUGAAAAUCCAUUAAAUCCUUGGGGGACCACCGGUAGCGAAGGCGUCUGGACCAGACCGGGUCCGACGGUGAGGGACGAA
rnacentral:rRNA from 1 species